rnacentral:lncRNA from 1 species
UAUUUCAGACCCUGGUUUUAUUUCAAGGCAAGACACAGAGGGUUAAAGCUAUUCUUUCCGGCCUGCUGUGUAUAAAUGGAGCCCCUCCCCCUUGCCCUCAGCACCUCAGCAAAUGACUGUCCCCCGUUCCCCAGGCCCUGACCCCCAGCCCCGGGGGAGACCCUGUCCGUCCUGCUCACCUUCACCCUCCCUUCUGAACCCAAACACUCCUAGCGGCUGACGAGGAAAACUCAAAAAGCUGAUUGUUUUUGAGAGGGGAGAGGAAGAGAAAGAGGAAAACCAAAAUAAAGAGGUGAAUUUCCUGGAAAAUUUAAAGCUACAGAUGGGGUUUGUAGGCAUGGGGUUUGACAUUUGGGGACAGAUUUUUAAUAUUACUUACUACUAAUUUUCUAAUGUCAUCUACACACCAAAAGUCAUUGUUAUCUCAAAGCAUAAAAUAGGUAAGACAGGAACUUAGUAAAACACAACAGCAUGGAAAAUCCCCAAAAUGAUUGUAGAGAAAGUUUUUUCCCCUUUUCAUUCGAAUUGUGUCUGUUUUCUACAUCUUUAUAUGGUUAGACCCAGACUCGAGUCACAUGUCGGC